CGCCAUUUUCUCGCGAAAAAAAAUUUCUAAUGAAAUUUGUCUUGACCGAUAGGUCUGGCCAAAAAAGAGAGGAAAAAAGAAAGAAAGAAAUUUGUUAAAACUUUUACCGAAUCCAGUGUUUGCGCUCACGAUUGGUACCAGUUGGAACUUGGGUUGGCCGUGCUUAAACCGGAGGUUCAAAACGCAUCUCUCCUAGGAGGCCUCUAGUGCGUUGAUUCAAAUUAAUUAUCACGUUGGUGCAAAAUUUAAUUUUCUGCAAGCAGCUGCUGUAAUGAAAGAUUUGGAGCAGGUAAUCGAUCCGGUGGUGGUGGACCACUAAAUUGCCUCAUCCGUCGAUUCUGCGGUGAGCUGGUGCUGAACGGUACUCUUGUGAGGGGUCUGUCGGAUGCCGACCAAUCGAAUGAGCAUCGAUGGCCAUAUUUGCAGAUUUCCCCCGGAAGCCCAACCACAGCAGCAGCAGAAGCUGUUGGAACAUGAUGGUUCCCAGUCAGCCUUCGACGACGGCUGGAAUGGUAUCUCUCGAGCGGGAUUCUCAGGGUUUACUGCUUAAGAUCACCAAGAAGGGCAAGGCUGUUCAGAUUGGUUGAUUUCCCGCACGGAGCCAGGCAGCAUGCAAAGAUUCCGCAAGAGGCUAUCCGUCGACCGCGACUCUCAUGGCUUUUACUGCACUCCUCUUGAGGUUGGUUCAAGCAAAGCAACAGCACAUACAUCGGAAUCGGGACACAGGGUUGCCGAAGAGAAUCAUCCAGUACCAUGUAUGCUAUCUCGACCAAAUGCAAAGAGAUUUCGAUCUGUGAAACGCAAAGAAGGAAGGAGAAUUUUAUACGCUCAUGGGUCACUCAACAGGUCUGUAAAAAUGAUCGCCCAGGGUCUGAGUGACUUACAGAUCAUCGAAGAGGCUAUGCAAUAUUCUGCACUAAGAACAACGUCAGCAAGCAUUCGUCGGAACCAUGUAGAAUUUCUUCGUAUAUAAGGUAAGAUUUGCAAAGUUUUCUUAAAAAUCCGGACCGGAAGCCAAAACCGACGAUUUUAACUGUCGUUAGAAAAGUCGAUAAGUCGAACGAAACCACUGCAUCAUCAGGGCUUUGGAAGGGCUG